AUGAAGCGCCAGCGGUCGUCCUACGUCGACGACGAUGACCCGGACGGCGACAGGCGGAGGUUCUAUGACCGCGGGGGCCCGCCGUCCCCGCUGCCGCCGCGCCGCCGCCCCGCGGAGUACGAGAGCGACGAGUUCGACCGCCGGACCGGCUUCGGCGGCGGCAGGUUCUACGACCACCGCUACCGGGACUCCCCCUCACCGCGGGGCUAUGGCGGGGACCGGGCGAUGCACCGCUCCGAGAGCUUCUCCGGCUUCCGCCGCGAGUUCCCCAAGGGGUUCCGCGCCGACCGCGACCGGUCGCGCUGGGAUGCGAGCGGCAGCGGCAGCGGCGGCGGCGGCUCGGCGUGGCGGCGUCCCGGUGGCCCCUGGAGGGAUCCGCACGGCUUGGACGGCCACAAGUCUGCGACCAGGCGGCAGGCGCCGUCGCCGCCUACGCCCCCUCGCCGGUCUCCUAGUGAGCCCAGGAGGAGGAUAGAUGGUCCCAAGGGGGACAAAUUGAGGAAGCACAACUGCGGCGCCGGUGAGAUCGAGGAAGGGGAAGUCGCGCCAGAUCCGGACGCCAAAGCCCCGCCUCCGCCAUCCGCCGCGGAGCAUCAGAAGUGGGUUGACUCAGGCCGUCCUGAUGACAAGGGAACUAGUAAGAGAUGCGAGUUGAAGAAAGUGGAUUCUCCUGGGCUGAGACUAAGAGUGGAUUUGAGAACUCAAGCUGCCGACAACUUGGGGAAGGAGAAAGGGAAGAUCAGCGAUGAUGCAGUUGCAGAAGCAGGGAAAGUAACAAACACGCAGCAUGAGAAAUCAGCAUCGGAUGUCACAGGGAAAGUAGCAAACACACAGCAUGAGAAAUCGGCAUCGGAUGUCACAGGGAAAGUAGCAAACACACAGCAUGAGAAAUCAGCAUCGGUUGUCACAGAGAAAGUAGCAAACGCACAGCAUGAGAAAUCAGCAUCGGAUGUCAUGGGGAAAGUAACAAACACGCAGCAUGAGAAAUUAGCAUCGGAUGUCACAGAGAAAGUGUGUGGAGGAGAUGAAGCUGCCAGUGCUGUUGAUCAAGGUGGACAGAGCACUUCCUCCGCUAUGCAGCUGGAAGCGCGGCAUGACGCAGUGGUUACACGACAAGAUGGUGCCAACGCUGCUGAUGUGGGUGUGCAGAGCACUUCAUCUGGUAUCCUGAAGGAGGCUACCAUGGAAGAAGUGGAGACUACCAUGGAAGAAGUGACAACAGAAGUUGAAACUGCCAUUGCUGUCAAUGAUGUUGAGAAGGGCACUUCAUCCAGCAUACAAAAAGAAUCACUGCAGGAGGUAGUAAUGGCAUUAGGCGAGGCUGCUAGUGAUGAUGAUAUUGUUUGGAUUGGCAGUUCAUCGACUACGCUGCAGAAAGUUCUUCCUAAAGAAGCAACAGAUGGAAACGUCAAUGGCGGUGGCGGUGUUGGAAAUUGCGCUUCAUCCAGUAUCCUGCAGGGGGCGAUGCAGGAGGAAGUGAAAUAUGUAGAUGUAGCUGCCAAUAUUGCAGAUGCGCCAAAAGAGGUCAGUUCUUUCAGUAUGCCGAAGGAAGUGGUGCAUGAAGACGACACACCGCUAACUGCUAAUACCAUUAAUUUGCUAGGAGAUAGCAACUCAUCCGUUAUGCUGGAGGAAGCAAUGCAUGAGACAGUAACCACGAAAGAACUAACCGCCAAUGCGCCUGACGUAGCUGGAAAGAGCAGCUCAUCUACUAUGCUCCAGGAAGAUGUCAUGACUUCUCUGUGCCAAGAGUCUCAAGAAAUUAAAGAAACUGAAAUAGGAAAUGUUGGAGACAAGAAGAUUGAUGAAACAACUGAAUCUAUCGCAUCCCAGCCAGUGGAAGAGGGACUCGAGAGGUACGGUUGUGAAAAUAGAGUUGCGCUUGACAAAACUGAAGUUGUAGAAGAAAAAGAAGAAGCAGUUGAGAAUGAAAUCGUUGCGAAACAAGUAAUACAUGUUGAUCUGGAGGCCAAACUUGCAGGUACUGGUGCUUUCCUUCAGCCAUCCAAGGACCAUAUUAAGGAUACUGAGGAAGAGGGAACGACUUUGGAUCUGAUUAUGGAGAAGCCAAGGGCUGAGGAUAAAGGAAAGGGUAUAGCAUUUGAUGUCCUUAAUAAGGCAGGUGGUGGUACUUUAGUGGGGAGAGGUUUUGACAUAGGAUUGCAGCCUGACACAGACCAAAAAGAAGCAUGGAAAUCUACAAGCACUACUUCCGGAAAGCAGGAAGAUGACACACUCAAGAUAGGGAGACUUGAUCUUUCACUAAGCUUGUCAGGUGGUUUACAGGAUCCUGAAUUCAAAAGUUUUGUUCCCAGACCUGAUUCUGUAGCCCAUGGACCAUGCUCUCAGUUGUCGUCGUCAUCAUCAUCAUUCUGCACAAAUUCAGAUGGAAUAACAGCUUCUGUAUCAUUGACCAAUUCUCAAGCAUUUGUUCGCAACCCUAGUUUCUCACAUACUCAACGGUCAUUGGACAAUUGUGAGCAUUCAGUAGGCAGUAAACCUUUGUUUCAAGGAGUUGAUCAGGUGAGCAACAGCACAGGAUGGCAAGUAGAGUUGUCCUCAAACAUAUCUACUGAGAAAGGGAACCCUACCCCGCUACUUCAGAAAGCACUCCAAAAUGGUCAUUUGUCAGAUACCACUUUGGUUGGUGUGAACAUGCAGAACAAUGGGCUAUCGCCAGUCCUGUCGACAGCACAUAAUCAUGGUUCGCUUGAUGCUGGAUUGGGACAUAGUAGACAUAGGAGGCAGCUCACAAGAGAGAGAAGUAGCAGCAGUCUUUCAAGGGGUGAGCUGCAGCAUGAGGAACAGCUUGUUCUGAAUGGUGCUGGUGUUGUUGAGAGGGUUAUUUCCAAGAUUGUUUCAGACCCUCUGAAUUAUACUGGAAGGAUGCUUCAAGAGAUGACAGGCAAUUCUAGAGCAUAUUUGAGGGAGGCCAUUUCUGAGAUCAUAAUUAAUGCUGAUAAAAGAGGACAAAUAGUAGCGUUGCAGGAGGCACUUAAAAAACGAUCAGACUUGAAUAGUGAAAUACUGCAAAGGUGUCCACGGGUGCUGUUGGAGAUACUUGUUGCUAUAAGGACGGGUCUUCCAGAUUUUUUAAAGAAAAGCAAUAGCAUUGCUACACCUGAUUUGGUUGACAUUUUUUUGAACUUGAAAUGCCGCAAUCUCUCAUGCCAAAGCAUUCUACCAGUGGUUGAUUGUGAUUGUAAAAUUUGUAAGCAGAAGAAUGGUUUCUGUAGUUCUUGCAUGUGCAUUGUCUGCUUGAAGUUUGACACGGCAUCUAAUACAUGUAGUUGGGUUGGCUGUGAUGUCUGUCUUCAUUGGUGCCAUACGGAUUGUGGCUUACGCCACUCCCUUAUUCGAAAGGGGGGAGCUGGUUCUAGAGCACAUGGUACUAAUGAAAUGCAGUUUCAUUGCGGUGCUUGUGGACAUCCAUCAGAGAUGUAUGGUUUUGUGAAAGAAGUCUUCCGAACAUGUGCUAAACAAUGGAGGGUGGAGGCUCUGAUCAGAGAGCUUCAAUAUGUGGAAAGGAUCUUCUCUGCAAGUGAUGAUGCAAGGGGUAGGAGAGUCAGGGACUUUGUCAAGCAGAUGCUGAUUAAAUUGGAAAACAGGGGUUAUUAUUCUGAAGUCAUCAAAUAUGUCAUUGCAUUCUUUUCUGAUGACAAUCCUAACAUGGGCAGUGGUCCAUUAGUGCCACUAAAGGGCAUUCCAUGCAGCAUUGCUGAAGGAAUAAAUGGGAUUCCUAGUUCGAGUCGAACGGCAACAUGGUUACCAUCAGUUACCUUAGAAGGAGUCCCGUUCCUACAAAAAGCAGGUGUUGUUUCUACUACUGGGAGCCAAUCAAUGCCUAGAAAAAUAGCUGAAACUGGAUUUCAGGUGGUCAAUAAUAAGCCAGUUUCUGAUGAACUGGAUGGUCUAGUGAGGUUAAAGCAGGCUGAAGCAAAUAUGUACCAGGAACGUGCCAAUGAAGCACGUAAAGAAGCCGAGAGUCUGAAAAAUAUCGUGAUGGUAAAAUAUGCACGCAUUGAAGAACAUUAUGCUACUCAAAUGUCUGAACUCCACAUAAAUGAGUUGCAAGAGAGGCGCAAGCAAAACAUUGAAGAACUUCAAGUCAUUGAGAGAUCGUACCAUCAAUUUCUCAGCAUGAAAACGAGGAUGAAAGAUAACAUUAGGGAGUUAUUGUUGAAAAUGGAGGCAACAAAACAGAAUCUAAGCACAUAA
rnacentral:rRNA from 1 species